rnacentral:rRNA from 1 species
UGGGGAAUUUUGGACAAUGGGCGAAAGCCUGAUCCAGCAAUGCCGCGUGUGUGAAGAAGGCCUUCGGGUUGUAAAGCACUUUUGUCCGGAAAGAAAUCCUUGGCUCUAAUACAGUCGGGGGAUGACGGUACCGGAAGAAUAAGCACCGGCUAACUACGUGCCAGCAGCCGCGGUAAUACGUAGGGUGCAAGCGUUAAUCGGAAUUACUGGGCGUAAAGCGUGCGCAGGCGGUUUGCUAAGACCGAUGUGAAAUCCCCGGGCUCAACCUGGGAACUGCAUUGGUGACUGGCAGGCUAGAGUAUGGCAGAGGGGGUAGAAUUCCACGUGUAGCAGUGAAAUGCGUAGAGAUGUGGAGGAAUACCGAUGGCGAAGGCAGCCCCCUGGGCCAAUACUGACGCUCAUGCACGAAAGCGUGGGGAGCAAAACAGGAUUAGAUACCCUGGUAGUCCACGCCCUAAAACGAUGUCAACUAGUUGUUGGGGAUUCAUUUCCUUAGUAACGUAGCUAACGCGUGAAGUUGACCGCCUGGGGAGUACGGUCGCAAGAUUAAAACUUAAAUGAAUUGACGGGGUCAUAGCUGUUUCCU